CCCAGAGAGGCCGGGCCUCUGCUCCUGGCUCCGGAAGGUCACGUUGAGUCUGAUGCGAGUGUCCGCGCUCCGCGGGCCUUGCUCCAGGCCGGUGUGUGCUGAUGGCGUGAUGCCUGGUGGGGCUUCCUGAGUCCCCCACAGGGGCUGAAAGUCGAGGUGCAUACGGUGGCCCCCAUGUUGACCUGACAGACCCCAAUAAACCCUGCACCUCAGGACUCACUUCCUUGGGUGGCCACACCCGAGGGACCCCUGACCCUGCUCCUGACCUCUGCCCUCGACUGAUUUUCAUCUGCAUCCUAAGCAACUCUGCCAGCUGUAAAGAGAGGGAGCUUGUUCACCCGCCCCUCCCAGCGCGCGGGGCUCUCGUGGGCAGGCCCCUCCCAGGACACGGAGCUCCCCUGGGCAGGCACCCGGGCGGGGCUCGGCGGACAGGACCUGUGCACACAGCCCUCGCUGCAGAGCGCCCCCGGCCCACCUGUUGGUCAGCGCUGACCCUGAGCACCUCAGAGCAGGACCUGAGCUAACAAACAGCAGCUCCUGGACAGGAGUUGCCAGGCUGCCACCUGCUAAGGAAGAGGAUGUGUCACCCAUACCUGCCGUUGGAACGUCUCCCCGGGCAGAGGUAGGAAGAUUGUCCCAGAUAACCUGGAUGGGCUUGAU